rnacentral:lncRNA from 10 species
GAGCUCCAAUGUCAGGCAGGAUUGGGGAGCUCCCUGCAGGUGGGCAGGAUGCAGGACCCCUGAGGCCCCACCACCUCCUAAGGAAGCCCCCUCCCCAUCCUCUACUACUCCUAAAAAGCCUGGAGGGCCUCCCUGCAGGCUGGCUCAAGCAACAUGGACUCCCAGCCCUUGCCCCGCCCAGGCUCACACAUAGUUUCUCUGGGGCUCAGGCAAUGUUAACACAGCUAUCACUGGCUUCCUGCUCACCAUGCCAAGCUGUCACACACGUGAGCUCAGGUCUAGGAAAGAACUCUAGAGGGGUUUGGAACACUACCUGUCCAAAGUCUCUGAGUAAGUGAAAUGCAGUGUUUAGCCCAAACCUUCAUUUUAGCUAAGUGCCUUCCUGUGUCCUCCCCAAGAACCACUCUCAGGGUACCCUCUCACCUGGUGUGGGGCCUCACUUUACCCUCCUUUCAGUCUCUCCUUCCUGACUACUGAGCAGGCAGGGAGAUGUGAGAGCCAGAGAGAUUUGGGCAAGCCACACAGGCCCAUUAGCUCAGCAGCUAUGGAGAGAGAAGCCAUAAAGAAGGAGUCUUGUCUGGAAAGCAGAAACCUGGACGGACUGGCUGUGUGGCCAAGAGCAAGUCACUUCCCCUCUCUGGUCCUCAGUUUCUUCCUUUUUAAAAUAACAGGAAAUCAUCUCUAAGCUUAUUUCUAGCUGAAGAUUCUGGGAUCUUAUUUAAAGAAUUGGGUCUAUUUCAAAAGUCGACUUAGUUUUUUUGAGGUGGGGGACAGGGUCUCCCUAUGUUGCCCUGGUUGGUCUCAAACUCCUGGACUCAAGGGGUCCUCUGCCUCAGCCAGCUUCAGGAAGUUCGUAAUUGGAGGAUAUUGUCCCUUUUGUUGCUUUUCUGGGGCUGUUGCAAGGUGGAAAGAAACAGAGGUGGGCAUCCUUGAGCCACUGCUGAGCCAUGACUAGGAAUUAGACUUCGCAAGGGAGCUGCGUGCAGUGGCUCACACCUGUAGUCCCAGCACUUUGGGAGGCUGAGGCAGGAGGAUAGCUUGAGCCCAGGAAUUCAAGACCAGCCUGGGUAAUGUGGCAAGACCCUGUAUCUACUAAAAAUAAAAAAAUUAUCUGGGUUUGGUGGUGCGUGCCUGUAGUCCCAGCUCCUAGGGAGGCUGAGGUGGGAGGAUCGUUUGAGGCCAGGAGGCAGAGGCUGCAGUGAGCCAAAAUUGCACCACUGCACUCCAGCCUGGUGACAGAGGGAGACCCUGUCUCAAAAAACAACCAACCAACCAACCAACCCAAAACACCCAAAUGAUGAUGCAGUGAGUAUCUCAGUGCUCGAAUGAGAGCAUAUCUGUAGGUUAAAUUUCAUGGGAAUGCUUUAAAAUAAAGUUUUAUGUCUUAUUUUAGGGUAAGUAAUCUCCCAAAUAGCUGAGACUACAGGAGCAUACCACCCAGCCUGGCUAAUUUUUAAAUUUUUUUUAUAGAGAUGGUGUCCUACUAUGUUGCCCAGACUGGUCACAAACUCCUGGGCUCGAGCAAUCCUCCUACCUUAGCCUCCCAAAGUGCUGGGAUUAUAGGCAUGAGCCACCAUACCUGGCCAUCAUCUGUGAUAGCCCCAAACUGGAAAUCACUGUCAUUUCCAUUACUACAAGGCAAAUGAAAUGAAUUAUGGUCUGCCAAAAAGAGACUGGGGUAUCUGUACUGACCUGGGCCGAUCUUCCAGAUAUGUGAAGUGUGUACUGUAUUCCCCCAUUUGUGUGUGCUGUUGGGGAAGGUGUACGUGUCGGUAUAUGAUAGGUAAUUUCUGGAAGGAUGCAUAGGAAACUGGUAACAGUGGUUUCCUCUGGGGUGAAAACAGGGGGACUGAGGGGCAGGGAAUGAGCAGAAGGACACAACUUUUCACUUGUAGGCCUUUAGCACCAUUUGAAUUUUUGUUUUUCCAUCUCCAUAUAUUAACUUCAAAAUUUUUCUUCUGGUAAUAUAGUAACAAUUGACUUUAAAUGCAAAAACAACCUUGCAUUCUGAGAUACUCUAUUGGGUCAUAAUGCAUAUUGCUGGAUUCAAUUAGCUAAUAGUUCAGUGAUUUUGCAUCUAUGUUCAUGAUGUAUUUAGGCAGUCACUUUCUUUUCUUGAAAUGUCUUUGGCCAGUUUUGGUAUUGUGGUGAUACUGUCAUCAUAAAAAGAGGUGGGAGGGAAGUGUUCCCUUUUUCUUUUAUUUUCUGAAAGUUUGCAUAUAAUUGGAGCUUUUUCUUUCUUAAAUGUUUGAUAGAACUCACGAAUAAAGCAAUCUGGACCUAGUUUUCUUUGGAGUUUUUUUUUUUUUUUUUUUUGAGAUGGGGUCUCACCUUGUUGCCCAGGCUGAACGCAAAUUCCUGGGCUCAAGUAUCCUCCUGUCUUAGCCUCUCAAGUAGCUGGGCCUGUAGAAAGAUUUUUUUUAAUAACACAUUUCUUUGAUAUAGGGCUACUCAGGUUUUCUAUUUCAUCUUGUGUACAUUUUAGUAAGUUCUAUUUCUCAAGGAAUGUGUUGAUUUCAUCUAUUGGUUUAAAGUUGUUCAUAGUAUUUCCUUAUUAUCCUUUUUUGUUUUGUUUCGUGUUUUUGUUUUUUUGAGACGGAGUUUUGCUCUUGUUGCCCAGGCUGGAGUGCAAUGGCACGAUCUCAGCUCACCACAACCUCCGCCUCCCGGGUUCAAGUGAUUCUCCUGUCUCAGCCACCUGAGUAGCUAGGAUUACAGGCAUGCGCCACCACACUGGGCUAAUUUUUGUAUUUUCAGUAGAGACAGGGUUUCUCCAUGUUCGUCAUGCUGGUCUUGAACUCCCGACCUCAGGUGAUCCGCCCACCUCAGCCUCCCAAAGUGCUGGGAUUACAGGUGUGAACCACAGGCCCUGGCCCUUAUUAUCCUUUUAAUGUCUGUAAGACCUAUAAUAAUAUCUCCUAGUUUGUUACUGAUAGGAAUAAUUUAUUUAUUUUUUCUUACAGUUUUGCUAGGGGUUUAUUAAUCUCCUCAAAGAAUCAACUGUGGCUUUGUUAAAUGUAUUGUUCAUCUGUUUUCAAUGUCGUUAAUUUUGCUUCUAUCUUUAGUAUUUCUUUUCUUCUUAGUUUGUCCUGUAGCUACUUUUUUUCAAAUAUAUAGAUAUUUAAAGCUAUUAAUAUAUCAUUUAGGAAGCAAGUACAACCUACUAAUUUAGCCUUGUAUUAUUUUAUUUCUCUGGGUUACUCAAUCUUGAAAUACAUUUCCAAUUCUUUUUUUAGAGAAAACUUUACUUUUUAUUUUUUUAAAGGCUACAUUGGCAAGAAUUUAGAGAAAACUUUCUAGGAGAAUCAGGAAAUACUACCCAUGGUGGGUGGAAGGGAGUAUAUGUAAAAAUCUAGAGAAUGAUUGUAAGGAUAGAAAAAAACUAAUAUUCCUGUUCUUUUUCAUUCCAUUCCAAGCUGUGUUUAUUCUAAAGAUACUUGAAUUUUAGGAACCCUCAGUUCCUUUUUGAAUGCUAUGUUGUAAUUACCAGUGACUCAUUCAUCUGUACUCAAGUUUUUGGAUAUAAAUGAAGGUUAAAUAUGACUCCGGUUAAUUUAAUGCUUUAACUAUACCAUACCAACCACAUCACUAAUACACUGUCAAGAUGCAAUCUUCCUUUCUUACUAAUUACAUUAACUUGAUGAGUCACUUUUCUUUAGUUAUUGCUUAUAUUGCCUUUUAAUAUUUAUCUUUGCUGAACUAAUUCUCCCAUCUUUUUAAUAAUUCAUUUUAAUUCCUGAUUUUUAAAUACUUAAAAGGGUUAUAACAAAGGUUAUUUUCUUUAUACUUAGUCUGGAUAGUACAAAAAAAUUUCCAUCAUAAAAUUCUUUUUUUUUUUAAAGGAAUGAUUGUGCUAGAAAAUGAAACAAUUUUUUUUUUUUUUUUUUUUUUUUUUUUUUUUUUGAGACAGAGUCUCACUCUGUUGCCCAGGCUGGAAUGUAGUGGUGCAAUCUCGGCUCACUGCAACCUCUGCCUCCCAGGUUCAAGCGAUUCCCCUGCCUCAGCCUCCCGAGUAACUGGGAUUACAGGUGCCCACCACCACGCCUGGCUAAUUUUUGUAUUUUUAGGAGAGUAUUUGUAUUUGUAAUUCAUGUAUUUUCACCAUGUUAGCCAGGCUGCUCUUGAAUUUCUGACCUCAGGUGAUCCACCCGCCUUGGCCUCCCAAAAUGCUGGGAUAACAGGUGUGAGCCACCACACCCAGCAAUACAAUUUUCAAAAGGAACCCCGUCAAGAUAUUCCUAGUUAAAUAUACACAUAACCAAAUGUACAUUUGUAUAUUUUAGAGAAAAUAACAUAAUUUUUGUUAUUUUAAUUGUAGCAACAGAGUCUAGCUAUGUUGCCCAGGCUAUUCUUCAACUCCUUAAGAUGGCCUUAAGUUGCCUCAGCCUUCCAAAGUGCUGGGGUUACAGGCAUGUAACUGCACCCAGUCUAGAGUUUUCUUAAAUCUUUUUAUUUAUUUAUUUUUGAGACAGGAUCUCACUAUGUCGCCUGGGCUGGUUUGAGACAGGAUCUCACUAUGUUGCCUGGGCUGGAGUGCAGUGGUGUGAUUAUGACUCACUGUACCCUCAAGCUCCCAGGUUCAAGUGAUGCUCCUACCUAAGCCUUCUGAGUAGCUGGGUAGGGAUUACAUAGGUGUGCACCACCACACUCGACUAAUUUUUGUAUUUUUUGUAGAGAUGGGUUUUCGCCAUGUUGCCCAGGCUGGUCUUGAACUGGGCUCAAGCAGUCGAACCACCUCAGCCUUUCAAAGUGCUGGGAUUACAGGCAUGAGCCAUGGAACUUAAAUCAUUUUUGAAACAUAGUUAAUAAUGGCCUUCUCAAAUUAAGUCAGCUAGUAGAAAAAAGUCUAACAUUUUACAUCGAGUCCAAAGCUAGUUUGGGGGAAAAGGCUUUUGAUCUUUAAAUGCCAAGGGGAAAGGUAUUUUAUCUGUCAAGAGAUGAUACAAUUCAGUGGAAUAAAAUGUGUAUCCACACAGAUGACUUUUGCUUCUACCAAUUUUAUCUUUUAUAAAACCCUGACAUGGCCGGGUACAGGGGCUCCUGCCUAUAUCUCAGCACUUUGGGAGCCAACGGGGUAGGAUCGCUUGAGCCCAGGAGUUUGAGACCAGCCUGGGCAACACAGUGAGACUUCAUCUUUACAAGAAUAAAAUAAAAAAAUUAGCCAGGCAUGGUGGUGUACCUAUGUAGUCCCAACUACUUGGGAGGCUAAGGUGGGAGGAUCACUUGAGCCCCCAGAGGUUGAGGCUGCAGUGAGCCAUAAUUGUGCCACCAUACUCCAGCCUGGGCGACAGAGACCCUGUCUCAAAACAAAACAGGCCGGGUCAGGGUGGCUCACGCCUGUAAUCCCAGCACUUUGAGAGGCUGAAGCGGGAGGAUUCCUUGAGCUCAGAAGUUCAGACCAGCCUGGGCAACAUCAGACCCUGUCUCUUUUUUUUUUUUUAAAGUAAAACAAACAAAAACAAAAAAAAAACUCAUGAUCCUUUUGUGGUUCAUAAGCAUGAUGAUUGGGUAUUCACACCCACGUGUGAGAUGUGCCUCCCUCAAACCUUGUUACAACUUCAACCAUUACCCAUCUGACAGUAAAAAAAAAAAAAAAAAAAAGUAAAAUUUUAAAAAUCAUGUCUUAUUUCAGCAUCUUAUAUUUUUAAAAACCAAUAUUUUGGUAGAUGACAAAUUUAUACCAUUAAUAACUUUAUUUUUUUUUCUUUCCUCAACUUUUGUUUUAGGUUCAGGGGAUACCUGUGUAGGUUUGCUACAUGGGUAAAUUGUGUGUUGCUGGGGAUUCGUGUACAAAUGAUUUUAUCACCCAGGGAGUGAGCAUAGUAACCAAUAGCUAGUUUUUCGACCCUCGCCUUCCUCCGAAUCUGCCCCUUCAAGGAGGCCCUGGUGUCUAUUGUUCCCAUCUUUGCGUUCAUGUGUACUCAAUGUUUAGCUCUCACUGAUAAGUGAGAACAUGUGGCAUUAAUCACUUUAAAACAUAGUAUGACAGAUAUCAUUUUCUUACAGAGCAUCAGAUAUUAAUAUGUAUGGAUCACUUUGUUAAAUUAACAAAAAUCAUCUGAAAAUCAGCACAAUAUUUCAUUUAUUUAUUGUAUAAGUUUGGCAAACAGCACAAAAAUCCAGCAACAUUUAAAACAUAU